rnacentral:rRNA from 1 species
CUAUGGAGAGUUUGAUCCUAGCUCAGGAUAAACGCGUGCGGUAUGCCUAACACAUGCAAGUCGAACGAGAUUUUUGGUUUACUGAAAGUUUAGUGGCGGACGGGUGAGUAACGCGUAAGAACUUACCUUUUGGUUGAGGGAUACCAGCUGGAAACGGUUGAUAAUACCUCAUAUGCUGAGAAGUGAAAGAUGGAAACCCCAUCGCCAAGAGAGAGGCUUGCGUCUGAUUAGUUUGUUGGUCGGGUAAAGGCCUACCAAGACUAUGAUCAGUAGCUGGUUUGAGAGGACGAUCAGCCACACUGGGACUGAGACACGGCCCAGAUCCCUACGGGGAGCAGCAGUGAGGAAUCUUCCGCAAUGGGCGAAAGCCUGACGGAGCACUAUCGCGUGGAGGAAGACAGCUCGUGAGUUGUAAACUCCUUUUGUCAAAGAAGAAAAAUGACGGUAUUUGACGAAUAAGCAUCGGCUAAACUCUGUGCCAGCAGCCGCGGUUCUGGAGAUAGCAAGCGUUAUCCGGAAUUAUUGGGCGUAAAGCGUUUUGAGGUGGGUCACCAAGUCUGCUGUGAAAGAUCAGGGCUUAACCCUGAAUAUGCGGUGCGACUCUGUAUUUUACAGAGUUGAUACUUUUGUCUAACAAGAGUAUGAAACUAAUGGCCUUGAGUACGGUAGGGGUAGAGGGAAUUCUCGGAGAAGCGGUGAAAUGCAUAGAUAUCGGGAAGAACACCAAUGGCGAAAGCACUCUGCUGGGCCGAUACUGACACUCACAAACGAAAGCUAGAGGAGCGAAUAGGAUUAGAUACCCUAGUAGUUCUAGCCGUAAACGAUGGACACUAAUUGUUGAACGAAUAAAAAACGUGCAGUGAUGCAGCUAACGCGUUAAGUGUCCCGCCUGGGGAGUAUGCUCGCAAGGGUGAAACUCAAAGGAAUUGACGGGGGCCCGCACAAGCGGUGGAGCCUGUGGUUUAAUUCGAUGCAACGCGAAGAACCUUACCAGGGCUUGACAUUUUACUUAUCCUUUUGAAAAAAGGGAUUUCGCCGCAAUUUUAUUGCGGAGGGUAUAAACAGGUGGUGCAUGGCUGUCGUCAGCUCGUGCCGUGAGGUGUCGGGUUAAGUCCUUUAACGAGCGCAACCCUUGUCUUUACUUGGUUUACAAAGUAGAGAGACUGCCGGUGACAAACCGGAGGAAGGAGAGGAUGACGUCAAGUCAGCAUGCCCCUUACGUCCUGGGCUACACACGUGCUACAAUGGCCGGGACAAUGAGAUGCAACCCUGCGAAGGCAAGCCAACCUCAAAAACCCGGUCUCAGUUCGGAUUGUAGGCUGCAACUCGCCUACAUGAAGUCGGAAUCGCUAGUAAACGCCGGUCAGCCAUACGGCGUUGAAUAUGUUACCGGGCCUUGUACACACCGCCCGUCACACUAAGGGAGUUGGGUUGGUCCAAAGUAAUUACCCUAACCUUAACUGGAGGGGGAUUAUCACGGCCGAACUAGUGACUUGAGUGAAGUCGUAACAAGGUAUCCGUUCUGGAAGGAGCGGAUGGAUUACCUCCUU